rnacentral:rRNA from 1 species
GAUGAACGCUGGCGGCGUGCCUAAUACAUGCAAGUCGAGCGAACAGACGAGGAGCUUGCUCCUCUGACGUUAGCGGCGGACGGGUGAGUAACACGUGGAUAACCUACCUAUAAGACUGGGAUAACUUCGGGAAACCGGAGCUAAUACCGGAUAAUAUAUUGAACCGCAUGGUUCAAUAGUGAAAGACGGUUUUGCUGUCACUUAUAGAUGGAUCCGCGCCGCAUUAGCUAGUUGGUAAGGUAACGGCUUACCAAGGCGACGAUGCGUAGCCGACCUGAGAGGGGGGUCGGCCACACUGGAACUGAGACACGGUCCAGACUCCUACGGGAGGCAGCAGUAGGGAAUCUUCCGCAAAGGGCGAAAGCCUGACGGAGCAACGCCGCGUGAGUGAUGAAGGUCUUCGGAUCGUAAAACUCUGUUAUUAGGGAAGAACAAAUGUGUAAGUAACUAUGCACGUCUUGACGGUACCUAAUCAGAAAGCCACGGCUAACUACGUG